UUGGACCUGAAAUCAGGAAAGAAGACCCGCUGAAUUUAAGCAUAUAACUAAGCGGAGGAAAAGAAACUAACAAGGAUUCCCUCAGUAACGGCGAGUGAAGCGGGAAGAGCUCAACUUGAAAAUCUCUGCCUCUUGUAAGGCAGCGAAUUGUAGUCUAUAGAUGUGAUUACCAGUAAAUUGUAAGGCAUAAUUCAUGUGGAAUCAUGAACCAUGGAGGGUGAUAGUCCCGUACUAUGGCUUUAAUAAUUUACAUACGGUGCGCAUUCGACGAGUCGGAUAUCUUGAGACUGAUGUCCUAAUGGGUGGUAAAUUCCAUCCAAAGCUAAAUAAAGGCGAGAGACCGAUAGCGAACAAGUACUGUGAAGGAAAGAUGAAAAGAACUUUGAAAAGAGAGUUAAAAAGUACCUGAAAUUGUUGAAAGGAAAGUGUAUGAAACUAGUGUUGCUUACUUGUACCUGUACUUGUAGGCAGGUCAGCAUGGAUUGAUUUCGUAAGAGACGGUUUUAAUGAAGGUAUGUGGCUUCGGCCAUUGUUAUAGCAUUAAUUACUUGUUAUGGAGUCGAUUGAGGUUGCUUGGUACCUUAUUAGGUCUGCUUGCCAUGAUUUUUAUGUAAAUUUAUUGCAUGCAAUGUUUAUAUGUAAAAGUUGUGAUUCUUGUAUAUUUGAUUGUAUCAACGUGAUGCUGACGAAAUGGUUUCCUACAGCCCGUCUUGAAACACGGACCAA
rnacentral:rRNA from 1 species